CCUACGGGUGGCUGCAGUGGGGAAUAUUGGACAAUGGGGGCAACCCUGAUCCAGCCAUGCCGCGUGUGUGAAGAAGGCCCUCGGGUUGUAAAGCACUUUCAGUGAGGAAGAACGCCUGGUGGUUAAUACCCAUCAGGAAAGACAUCACUCACAGAAGAAGCACCGGCUAACUCCGUGCCAGCAGCCUCGGUAAUACGGAGGGUGCGAGCGUUAAUCGGAAUUACUGGGCGUAAAGCGCGCGUAGGUGGCUUGAUAAGCCGGUUGUGAAAGCCCCGGGCUCAACCUGGGAACGGCAUCCGGAACUGUCAAGCUAGAGUGCAGGAGAGGAAGGUAGAAUUCCCGGUGUAGCGGUGAAAUGCGUAGAGAUCGGGAGGAAUACCAGUGGCGAAGGCGGCCUUCUGGACUGACACUGACACUGAGGUGCGAAAGCGUGGGUAGCAAACAGGAUUAGAUACCCCAGUAGUC
rnacentral:rRNA from 1 species